rnacentral:tRNA from 1 species
GCGACACUAGCUCAGUUGGUAGAGCGCAACCUUGCCAAGGUUGGGGUCACGAGUUCGAACCUCGUGUGUCGCUCCA